GACAGAGGGUGCAAACGUUGUUCGGAUUUACUGGGCGUAAAGCGCGUGUAGGCGGCUUUGCAAGUCGGAUGUGAAAUCCCACGGCUCAACCGUGGAAGUGCAUCCGAAACUGCAUCGCUUGAGUCUCGGAGAGGAAGGUGGAAUGCUUGGUGUAGAGGCGAAAUUCGUAGAUAUCAAGCAGAACACCUGCGGCGAAGGCGGCCUUCUGGACGAUGACUGACGCUGAGACGCGAAAGCGUGGGGAGCAAACAGG
rnacentral:rRNA from 1 species